AGCGGGGCGAGUGAGAAAAUUUUGCGAUUUUAUAAUUUCAAAACAUUCUAUUUCUGACUUCUCAGCCAUUUCGAUUUGAUUUCCCGUUUUAAUCGAUUUCCUGUUUUUUUUUUUCAAUUUCCCUGUAAGUUUGAUUUCUCGUCUAUUUUGAUGGCCCGUUUUUAUCGACUUCCCUUUUUUUCGAUUUCCUGUUUUUUUUAUUUCCCGUCUAUUGCGAUUUCCCAUCUAUUGCGAUUUCCCGUCUAUUGCGAUUUCCCGGUGAGUUCGAUUUCCCGGUGAAUUCAAUUUCCCGGUGAGUUGGAUUUCCCGUCAAUUUCGAUUUCUCGGUCAGUAUGAUUUCUCAUCAACUUCGAUUUCCCGGUGAGUUCAAUUUCCCGGUGAGUUCGAUUUCCCGGUGAAUUCAAUUUCCCGGUGAGUUCGAUUUCCCGGUGAGUUCGAUUUCUCUGUCAGUAUGAUUUACCAUCAAUUUCAAUUACCCCUGGCUUCCCGAUUCA